rnacentral:rRNA from 1 species
AACGAACGCUGGCGGCAGGCUUAACACAUGCAAGUCGAACGCCCCGCCAGGGGAGUGGCGGACGGGUGAGUAACGCGUGGGAACAUACCCUUUUCUACGGAAUAGCUCUGGGAAACUGGAAUUAAUACCGUAUACGCCCUACGGGGGAAAGAUUUAUCGGGGAAGGAUUGGCCCGCGUUGGAUUAGCUAGUUGGUGGGGUAAAGGCCUACCAAGGCGACGAUCCAUAGCUGGUCUGAGAGGAUGAUCAGCCACAUUGGGACUGAGACACGGCCCAAACUCCUACGGGAGGCAGCAGUGGGGAAUAUUGGACAAUGGGCGCAAGCCUGAUCCAGCCAUGCCGCGUGAGUGAUGAAGGCCUUAGGGUUGUAAAGCUCUUUCACCGAUGAAGAUAAUGACGGUAGUCGGAGAAGAAGCCCCGGCUAACUUCGUG